AUCUUCCACAAUGGGCGAAAGCCUGAUGGAGCAACGCCGCGUGAGUGAAGAAGGUUUUCGGAUCGUAAAACUCUGUUGUAAGGGAAGAACAAGUACAGUAGUAACUGGCUGUACCUUGACGGUACCUUAUUAGAAAGCCACGGCUAACUACGUGCCAGCAGCCGCGGUAAUACGUAGGUGGCAAGCGUUGUCCGGAAUUAUUGGGCGUAAAGCGAGCGCAGGCGGUCCUUUAAGUCUGAUGUGAAAGCCCACGGCUCAACCGUGGAGGGUCAUUGGAAACUGGGGGACUUGAGUGCAGAAGAGGAAAGUGGAAUUCCAAGUGUAGCGGUGAAAUGCGUAGAGAUUUGGAGGAACACCAGUGGCGAAGGCGGAUUACUGGACGACUACUGACGCUGAAUCACGAAAGCGUGGGGAGCAAACAGG
rnacentral:rRNA from 1 species